AUACUUAUCUGGCAGGGGAGAUACCAUGAUGACGAAGGUGGUUUUCCCAGGGCGAGUUUUAUCCACUGCACUCUGGAUGAGCUGACUCCUGCAAUUUCCCCAAAUGUGGGAAACUUGACUGCAUAAUUUGUGGUAGUGGGGGACUGCAUUCAAGCUUUCCCCUG
ensembl:snRNA U1 U1 spliceosomal RNA